UUUAGAGUGGCAGAUAAAUGUGUUGAAUUUAAGCUUCAAAGAUGUAAUGAAGUUUACCUUUAAGA
rnacentral:tRNA from 1 species